rnacentral:rRNA from 1 species
UGCUCAGGAUGAACGCUGGCGGCGUGCCUAAUACAUGCAAGUCGAGCGAACGGACGAGAAGCUUGCUUCUCUGAUGUUAGCGGCGGACGGGUGAGUAACACGUGGAUAACCUACCUAUAAGACUGGGAUAACUUCGGGAAACCGGAGCUAAUACCGGAUAAUAUUUUGAACCGCAUGGUUCAAAAGUGAAAGACGGUCUUGCUGUCACUUAUAGAUGGAUCCGCGCUGCAUUAGCUAGUUGGUAAGGUAACGGCUUACCAAGGCAACGAUGCAUAGCCGACCUGAGAGGGUGAUCGGCCACACUGGAACUGAGACACGGUCCAGACUCCUACGGGAGGCAGCAGUAGGGAAUCUUCCGCAAUGGGCGAAAGCCUGACGGAGCAACGCCGCGUGAGUGAUGAAGGUCUUCGGAUCGUAAAACUCUGUUAUUAGGGAAGAACAUAUGUGUAAGUAACUGUGCACAUCUUGACGGUACCUAAUCAGAAAGCCACGGCUAACUACGUGCCAGCAGCCGCGGUAAUACGUAGGUGGCAAGCGUUAUCCGGAAUUAUUGGGCGUAAAGCGCGCGUAGGCGGUUUUUUAAGUCUGAUGUGAAAGCCCACGGCUCAACCGUGGAGGGUCAUUGGAAACUGGAAAACUUGAGUGCAGAAGAGGAAAGUGGAAUUCCAUGUGUAGCGGUGAAAUGCGCAGAGAUAUGGAGGAACACCAGUGGCGAAGGCGACUUUCUGGUCUGUAACUGACGCUGAUGUGCGAAAGCGUGGGGAUCAAACAGGAUUAGAUACCCUGGUAGUCCACGCCGUAAACGAUGAGUGCUAAGUGUUAGGGGGUUUCCGCCCCUUAGUGCUGCAGCUAACGCAUUAAGCACUCCGCCUGGGGAGUACGACCGCAAGGUUGAAACUCAAAGGAAUUGACGGGGACCCGCACAAGCGGUGGAGCAUGUGGUUUAAUUCGAAGCAACGCGAAGAACCUUACCAAAUCUUGACAUCCUUUGACAACUCUAGAGAUAGAGCCUUCCCCUUCGGGGGACAAAGUGACAGGUGGUGCAUGGUUGUCGUCAGCUCGUGUCGUGAGAUGUUGGGUUAAGUCCCGCAACGAGCGCAACCCUUAAGCUUAGUUGCCAUCAUUAAGUUGGGCACUCUAAGUUGACUGCCGGUGACAAACCGGAGGAAGGUGGGGAUGACGUCAAAUCAUCAUGCCCCUUAUGAUUUGGGCUACACACGUGCUACAAUGGACAAUACAAAGGGCAGCGAAACCGCGAGGUCAAGCAAAUCCCAUAAAGUUGUUCUCAGUUCGGAUUGUAGUCUGCAACUCGACUACAUGAAGCUGGAAUCGCUAGUAAUCGUAGAUCAGCAUGCUACGGUGAAUACGUUCCCGGGUCUUGUACACACCGCCCGUCACACCACGAGAGUUUGUAACACCCGAAGCCGGUGGAGUAACCUUUUAGGAGCUAGCCGUCGAAGGUGGGACAAAUGAUUGGGGUGAAGUCGUAACNNNNNUAGCCGUA